rnacentral:rRNA from 1 species
AGAACGAACGCUGGCGGCAGGCCUCAAACAUGCAAGUCUAGGGGGCGUAGCAAUACGUCACCGGCGGACGGGUGCGUAACACGUGGGAAUGUACUUAUUGGUUCGGAACAACUCAGGGAAACUUGAGCUAAUACCGAAUGUGCCCGAAAGGGGAAAGAUUUAUCGCCAAUAAAUCAGCCCGCGUCCGAUUAGCUAGUUGGCGGGGUAAAGGCCCACCAAGGCGACGAUCGGUAGCUGUUCUGAGAGGAAGAUCAGCCACACUGGGACUGAGACACGGCCCAGACUCCUACGGGAGGCAGCAGUUGGGAAUCUUGGACAAUGGGGGAAACCCUGAUCCAGCCAUGCCGCGUGAGUGAUGAAGGCCUUCGGGUUGUAAAACUCUUUCGACGGGGACGAUAAUGACGGUACCCGUAGAAGAAGCUCCGGCUAACUUCGCGCCAGCAGCCGC